rnacentral:tRNA from 1 species
GCCGGGGUGCCCGAGCGGACCAAGGGGCUGGCCUUGAGAGCCUGCUGGGAAAGCCAGUAGGGUAUCACCCUGCGCGGGUUCAAAUCCCGCCCCCGGCG